rnacentral:lncRNA from 1 species
CUUCAUUAGCCAAUCAGACAAGAAACAUAAUAUAAUUUUCCUUUGCCGUAAAUGAUGUCCGUAUAAAUGUUAUCAUUUUAAACUGAGUGGACUAUUACCGCAACAUAUAACAAAACAACAGGAGCGCUACCGAAACUAUAGUACAGGCUGAACGAUGAAGACAAUUCUUUUUACGAUGGUACUAUGUGCUAUGUUCGCUGGACUGUUUGGCUGCAGUAGUUGGAACCAAGACAAGCCAUGUAUGUGUACAUGCGAGGAUACUGCGGCGGCUUGCCUGAAACACUGUACCACAAAAGAUGGCGUCGACCGAAACGUUUGCAACAGAAACUGUCACAGCGCCUCAGAGGACUGUUAUCGUAAAUGUUAACAGUGAAAUGCUUUCAUUCCUGAUGUAUUAUAAACAUCAGUAAUAAAUAUUACAAAUAUAUCAGUAA